GACGAACGCUGGCGGCGUGCUUAACACAUGCAAGUCGAACGGAAAGGCCCAGCUUGCUGGGUGCUCGAGUGGCGAACGGGUGAGUAACACGUGGGUGGUAUGCCUCUAACUUCGGGAUAAGCUUGGGAAACUGGGUCUAAUACCGGAUAGGACAAUCGUUUAGUGUCGGUUGUGGAAAGUUUUUUCGGUUAUGGAUGAGCCCGCGGCCUAUCAGCUUGUUGGUGGGGUAAUGGCCUACCAAGGCGUCGACGGGUAGCCGGCCUGAGAGGGUGGACGGCCACAUUGGGACUGAGAUACGGCCCAGACGCCUACGGGAGGCAGCAGUGGGGAAUAUUGCACAAUGGGCGCAAGCCUGAUGCAGCGACGCCGCGUGGGGGAUGACGGCCUUCGGGUUGUAAACCUCUUUCGACAGGGACGAAGCUUUGGUGACGGUACCUGUAGAAGAAGCACCGGCUAACUACGUG
rnacentral:rRNA from 1 species